rnacentral:ncRNA from 1 species
AUGGUGCUUCUAUAUUAACAUAAUGUUUAGAAGUUAAAAGGGAAUAUGGUGAGAUUCCAUAGCAGCCCCCACUACUGUGAGAGAGGAUGAAAGCCAAAAUUAUAUUUACCAUUGAGCAUUAAGCUUGAGAAGGAAUUUGGUAAGUAAUAUGAUUCUUAAGUCAGGAAACCUGCCAUAACUUA